rnacentral:sRNA from 1 species
UAAUACCACUUUACCUGCAAUUACAACUGAUGUCAUUGCUUUCUCAGGAAUUUCCACGUCAGUGCUAAUAUUUAAGGCACUAGGAUUACAGAAUUUGAUUAAAUAAUCUUUGUUUUGUGAUAAAGUUGUUUCAAUUUCUUUAUCUUUAGCUUGAAUUAAAAUAGGUAUUUCUUUAGACAAUGGCGUAU